AUACUUAGUCAAGAUCAUUGCUAUAGUAUUUGUGAUGUUUUAUUGUUAUAAAAUAACGGAUAUUACAAAAGUGAUGAUGAAAUGACGCUACUCACAAAUGAAUUUUAAUUUCGAUAUUUUUUCAUUAUCUUUUGAUAUUGUUAAAGUAUCCGAAAAAAAGAUGAUAACUUUAUAACAAUUUUAAGAUCUUCUUAUUUUUGUUAUUAAAUUUUUAGAGUAUGUCGUCCGCUGAACUUCCGACUUUAUUAUAUAUGUAUAUAUAUAUUUUAUUUUGGGGGUGUUUUAAAAUAUUAUAUUGAU